rnacentral:snRNA from 1 species
AUACUUCUCUGGAAGGUGAGAUGCCAUGAUCACGAAGGUGGUUUUCCCAGGGUGAAGCUUAUCCUUUGCACUCCGGAUGUGCUGACCCCUGCGAUUUCCCCACAUGUGGGAAACUCGACUGCAUAAUUUGUGGUAGUGGGGGACUGCGUUCAUGCUAAA